AUACAGGAGGGUGCGAGCGUUAAUCGGAAUUACUGGGCGUAAAGGGCACGUAGGUGGGUGCUUAAAGUCGAGAUGUGAAAUCCUCGAGCUUAACUUGAGAACUGCAUUUGAUACUGGGCACCUAGAGUUUGGUAGAGGGAAGUGGAAUUUCCGAUGUAGCGGUGAUAUGCAUAGAUAUCGGAAGGAACACCAGUGGCGAAGGCGGCUUCCUGGGACCAAUAACUGACGACUGAAGGUGCGAAAAGCGUGGGUAGCAAACAGGAUUAGAUACCCUGGUAGUCCACGCCGUAAACGAUAGAGAACUAGGCGUUGGGAUUUAUCUCAGUGCCGUAGCUAACGCAUUAAGUUCUCCG
rnacentral:rRNA from 1 species